rnacentral:rRNA from 1 species
GAUGAACGCUGGCGGCGUGCUUAACACAUGCAAGUCGAACGAAGCACUUAUGAUUGAGAUUUCGGUUGAUUGAUUAAGUGACUUAGUGGCGGACGGGUGAGUAACGCGUGGGUAACCUGCCUCGUACAGGGGGAUAACAGUUAGAAAUGACUGCUAAUACCGCAUAAGCGCACAGUACCGCAUGGUACGGUGUGAAAAACUCCGGUGGUAUGAGAUGGAUCCGCGUCUGAUUAGCUGGUUGGCGGGGUAACGGCCCACCAAGGCGACGAUCAGUAGCCGACCUGAGAGGGUGACCGGCCACAUUGGGACUGAGACACGGCCCAA